ACACACACACACACACAUCCCUAAAUAAAUAAGCAAUUGUAAAAAAAAAAUUUAAGAAGUUUCCAGAAGCUGAAGCAGAAGGAAGAAGAAACAAAUUUGAAAGGGAUGUGGGUGACUGGAAUGAUAGGAAUGCUAGACCUGAGAUGCCUCCUUCCCCACACUGAUUGACUUGGGCCUGCAUAGACUGACGAACCCCUUCUUCUUGCUGCCGCAUUGCAGAUACCCUUCAGUCUGUUGGUGGAACACGGCGCAGUGUGGGACAGGGAGAGCCUGUACUAGUUUCUCACAGCCCUGCUCUUCACUCAGAGAAGGAAGUUGUUUGUGUAGUUCAGUGACUGCCGGGUUGUCUGGCAGGCGUGGCUGAGCUGCCCCAAGCCUCACCUCUUCAAGUGCCCCUGCCUUCCUCAGGAAUCUCCAGGCUCAUCUGUCAGAUGUGCUUGCCCAGGUGGUCGACUGUGAGGUGCUUCACUGGCGGCUGCCCUGCCUUCAAGAAGCCCACAGAGCGUCAGGAGAAUCCAGGUGUGGUCACAGUGUCUCUGAGGACCAAGGACAGCAGCAGCAGCUUGUAAGAGCUGCUGUCCCCGACUCCUGGGAAAGAGGCUCUGAAGCCGAGGCUCUGAAGCCGGCCUGACACUUGCUGAUUAUAGGCAAAGAAAGAACUUCGAAGAAAUGGGCGUAUCUACUAAGGGAGCUUCAGGAACAACAGGACUGAGAAGACAACAGGAUGUCAUCCAUACUGCAAAUAACCUUCGACCCACACUCAUUCAAGCGUCUAAUUAAACUUGGUGGGUCACAUGCGAAAGAAGACUUGAGACUGGGAGCCGGACCUCCUGGGAGAAAGGUCUCCAUGGUGGAAGGAAGGAGAUGAGACUGAGGAGUGGGGUGAAAAUGAGUGAAUUUAUUAUAGAAAUGGAUAGGCACUGGGGAGUGGCGGCGCACGCCUGUAAUCCCAGCACUUGAGAGGCAGAGGCAGGCAGAUUUCUGAGUUCGAGGCCAGCCUGGUCUACAGAGUGAGUUCCAGGACAACCAGGGCUACACAGAGAAACCCUGUCUUGAAAAACAAAACAAAACAAAACAAAACAAAAAAGAAAGCAACAAAGUGCAACCCAAACAAAACAGAGGCCUUUCUUGCUAUAAGUUUGGCAAAUGCUCUUUUGAUGGGAGAGCAUGAUAGAGCAGGCAAUGUUGUGCGCACGCGCAAACACUCACUCAC